rnacentral:rRNA from 1 species
AGUGAACGCUGGCGGCAGGCCUAACACAUGCAAGUCGAGCGGCAGCACAGAGCUAGCUCCCUGUUUCGGGUGCGGACUGGCGGGUGGGUCAGGAGAACAUCGGAAUCUGUGUGUUCUUGGGGGAGAACGCGGGGGCACAUACGCUAAUAGCGCAGACGACGAACGGGUGGAAGCAGGGGAUCUCCCGCCCUUGCGCGAUUGUAGGAGCCGAGGUCGGAUUAGCUAGUUGGCGGGGUAAAGGCCCACCAAGGCGACGAUCCGUAGCUGGUCUGAGAGGAUGAUCAGCCACACUGGAACUGAGACACGGUCCAGACUCCUACGGGAGGCAGCAGUGGGGAAUAUUGGACAAUGGGCGCAAGCCUGAUCCAGCCAUGCCGCGUGUGUGAAGAAGGCCUUCGGGUUGUAAAGCCCUUUUGUUUGGGAAGAAAAGCAGCAGGUUAAUACCCCGCUGUUCUGACGGUACCCAAAGAAUAAGCACCGGCUAACUUCGUG